AUGGCUGCUACUUGCCAGUUUUGUGCGGGUCCCCUUGACCCGCAGGACCCUCACCAGUUCUGUGUUUCCUGCCUGGGCCUCGCCCACGCCGAGGCAACUUUCACGGAUGACACGUGCGCUCACUGUGCCGAGCUGCCAGUGCGCGCCCUCAGAGCCAGAAGAGAAGUGGCUCAGACAACAGCAGGGAUGAGGCUCACUGCCGCCAGCGAGCCGCUGGUGGGCUCUCCCCCGCCCCAAGACGAGUUCGACGCUGUCAGCUUCACGGGCGAUAGCUUCCCCCCCCCCAAGGCCGUCGCAGACUUCAUCUCCUUCGGAGCUGGCGAGGAAGACGACUCCAUGUCAGAGAAGGAUUGGGUGAUUCAGUCAGACCGCCCCGAACACGGGGGCCCUGCAGACCUCCAGGAGGAGCUCGUCAGGAUCCUCGGCAAGCCCGUCACGGAGCUGGACCUCUCCUGGAACGCACCUGACGAGCCUGUGAAAAGUAAGCUGGGCACGUGGUCUCUCCAGUGGAGCCGCCGCCAGGCCCCAUCGAGGAGAAGAACCCCGUUCUUCCCAGACUUGCAUGAGCACGUGGUGAAUUCGUGGGCUGCACCCCAAUCAGCACGCCCCCUCUCUGCCAUGCAAGCCAUGUUUGCGCACGUGGACGGGGCGGAGGCCCACGGGUAUGUGCGCAUGCCCCCUGUCGAGGAGACCGUUGCCGUGCACCUGUGCCCGUCUUCCUCAGCGUUGGGUUCCGACCGCAGCCUGCCCUCCAAGCCGUGCAGGUUUACAGCCCACCAGGCAGACAAAGCCUAUGCUGCUGCAGGGGAGGCAGCUUCUGCCCUUCACGCCAUGGCUAUACUCCAGGUGUUCCAGGCGAAGCUACUUCAAUCCAUCAAUGACGGCGUGGUUGAUGCAGACGUCAUCAGGGAUCUGCGCGCGGCAACUGAUCUCGCACAGAUGGCUACCAAUUGCUCCGCUCAAGCAAUCGGCCGUUCCAUGGGGUUUAAGGUCGUCCUUAACAGGCACCUAUGGUUAACCCUAGCUGACCUGAAGGACAUGGACCGCAGGAUGCUUUUAAACACUCCAGUCACUCCCUCCGGCCUCUUUGGUGACGCCGUGGAGUCGGUCAUGGAGCGUUUCUCUGAGACGCAGAAGCACGCCAAAGCAAUGAGCCACAUUAUGCUUCGUCGCUCACUUCAGUCUUCAUCCGCGAGGUCCCGCUCUUCUUCGGGGCCUCGCCAGGCCCAAGGACUGGCUGGACAGCCCGCCGUGGCACCCCGCCCCGAGCCGAAUGUCCGUUUCGGCCGAAACAAGCAGUGGUCAGGGCCUGGGAAGAGACAUCAGAGUAGGAAGAGGAGUGCGUGCCGCGAGAGAGCCAGCGCAUCUUCCUCGGCUGCAAAGCCAUCUUCCUUACGGGCCGCUCAACAGGAAGAGAGAGCACGCUGGUGGCCCCGCCCCCAAGUGCAGUGUUCAACUGCUUCGUGUCCCCCAGGUUCCUUUGGGCGACAAUCAAAAUGUGUUUAA
rnacentral:lncRNA from 1 species